UUGCUGUGAUGAAACUAACUAGCUCACUUUGAAUAAAGAUGAAAAGUUAAGAACACCUGAGCAUC